UCCUACGGGAGGCAGCAGUGGGGAAUAUUGCACAAUGGGCGAAAGCCUGAUGCAGCGACGCCGCGUGGAGGAUGAAGGCCUUCGGGUCGUAAACUCCUGUCUGGGGGGAUGAAUAAUGACAGUACCCCCGGAGGAAGCCCCGGCUAACUACGUGCCAGCAGCCGCGGUAAUA
rnacentral:rRNA from 1 species